GCGUCCUUAGCUCAGUUGGUUAGAGCGUUGCAUUGACAUUGCAGAGGUCACUAGUUCGAAUCUAGUAGGACGCA
rfam:Balneola sp. EhC07 strain EhC08 A6_Contig7, whole genome shotgun sequence.